AUCUUUGGCUAGGCCUUUGGUAUUUCAAGGCGCUGCCGGUGGGGAGAGAUGCCGCGUGCCUGAGAGGCUCUGGGAGAUGUUAUGUGGUCAACAGGGACUGAGGCUCUUUAAGCCCUUAAAUCUCUAAGGGCUAAAUCUCCUUCCUGAUAUUCGCCCCCAAACCGGCACCAAAGAAGGCCCAGAGAGGUUUAACAACUUCCUCAGAAUCACACAGCUUCCAAAUGGUUGGGUUGGGUUUACAUUUAGGCGGUCUUGCUCCAGAGCCAGUGCUCCUAACCUUUGCAAGCCACGAACCUCAAGAAAGUGGAGAAGGAAACGCUGGGAAAUCUGGAAGUCAGACAUGAGAGCUAAUGCUGGCAGCUGUUGGGAUGUCCUCUUCCAGGAAUGGUGAUGAGUUUCCCUGGAUCCAGCCCUGGCUUGGCUGAGACUCCAGCCCCUACAAUGCAGAGGAAAGAAGCCCUCCCUCACCAUGCCUGCUAUUUCCUUACACCUCCAAGAACCAGUCAUCCUCUCAUUCAUGAGACGCAAUAUGAAGUUGUCCUUAAGCCAGAAGGAUUUGAAUUUCAACUCUGCCCCAGCACUUAGCAAAUGGUCACAGAAGAAGUACUUAAUCAUGCCUCCAGGAAGCCCACCCUAACUGCCUGAGGCAGUUACCUCCCUCUCUCUGUCCUGCCUUCACAGAGGCCUGCAUGCCUCCCAGGCAGAGAACUUGUCAUUUGUGAGAGCUGCGCCCUAUCUGAGACCCUGUGAUGCGUGCCAUGCCUAGCCCGGCCCUGACACAUGGUAGAUCCUAAUAUGAAGCUGUGGAGGGAGUGAAUGGCCUGCAGCACUGCACGGAGGACCUCUUUGUGGCACGGCCACCAACGCGUGUUGGGUGACUGACCACAGAGACUCCUUUACUCCUUCGUUUCCCAGAAAUAAAAUGGACAACUGGC
ensembl:lncRNA LINC02028 long intergenic non-protein coding RNA 2028